UACGUAGGGUGCAAGCGUUGUCCGGAAUUAUUGGGCGUAAAGAGCUCGUAGGCGGUUUGUCGCGUCUGCUGUGAAAACUCGGGGCUUAACUCCGGGCCUGCAGUGGGUACGGGCAGACUAGAGUGCGGUAGGGGAGACUGGAAUUCCUGGUGUAGCGGUGAAAUGCGCAGAUAUCAGGAGGAACACCGGUGGCGAAGGCGGCCUGCUGGGCAGUUGCUGACACUGAGGCGCGAAAGCUAGGGGAGCAAACGGG
rnacentral:rRNA from 1 species